rfam:Thioclava sp. 25B10_4, complete genome.
AAGUCGGAUACGGGAGAAUCCGGGGGUAACCUCGGUGCCGAAGGAGCAACCGCCCCGGUAAACUCUCAGGCAAAAGGACCGUGCCCGACGA